UUGUAGCUCCAUCUGCCACCUUCUUCUUCCUGCCAUUCCGGACGAGCUCGUCGGCGGAGGCAGGCUUGGGGAUGUCGCGGGGGACAUUGCCGUGAUUGUGGGUUGACAUUCAGCCGGCCCGCGGUGAAAUGAAAACAAGGAUAUAGUGCUGGGUUUGAUUAUGAGCCAUGUUCAGAGUAUGAUGGGUUCUUGGGAGUGAGGAUGGUAAAUAAAGCAGCAGGCUGAAGGAAGUCAAAACCGUGAAUGAGCCGCUUCGGGGUUCCUACAGGCUAUCACAUGGAAGUUGCUUGUUUACUGUGCUUUGACCUCACAUUCAUAAGUUUUAUAUCACCGACUUUUCCCUCUUCAGAGGCCUCAUCCAGGUUAAUUUCUGCACCUUUGGAUCAAAAGCACAGAGUUUUCUAAUCUUUUGUGCUUCUUCUUUUCAGUGAACGAAUUUUGUAUAAAUUCAGUCAAAAUUGGUAAGUUUGAAUUAGGACAAUUUCAAGUGUAUAGACAUCAAGAAACAAAGUAUUAGAGUAGAUGUAUGCAGUAGUCUUUGUUGUAUGAUAUGGAUGUCCUAAAGUACAGGCUAUUGGAGACGCUUUACCACCUCGUAGUAACCAGUGGUUGGCUCAAUGUGCUUCCUAAGCUCGAACUCUCUGUUUUUAAUGAAAAUUCAGGUAGAGGCCCUCUCCAGAAUUAGCAGCGAUUAUUUUCUGUUUAUUUUCGCUGCCGGUGACGUGAUAGUCAAAAGAAUAAGACUAAUGGCUGCAAAGCAAAAUAACAUCAUGAGCGAGAUUUCAUAAAACACAUUGGGGGGACACAUGAUUUCAUCACAUCGUAUCAUGUCAGACAAUAUAACACGACUUUUCACUACUGGAUGGUUGUAUCUUCGUCAUCUUAUGAAUGGGGAACAACAGGAAGUGAACACAGUUGUGCCCAGAAUUUUUAUCCUCGUGUUAUAUUUCAGGUCGUCGCCUGAGUUU